GCAGUUCCCCUGUAGACACACGUGGGGGCGCUGUUCUGUCUUGUUGAUGGAGCAUUGAGCGACGAGAAGAAGACUGACGUACCUAUAAAAGGCGCGGUUCAGAGACGGGUGACUAGUUGUUGAUGCAAUGACACUGAUGGAAGAACUUUUAAAACAUAUUAGGCGUUCAAAUACACACAAGAGCAGAAAGAAAAUUCUGAAAUGGAUGCAGAAACGUGGUAUCCUGGCGACGACGAUGAAGUGCGCAAAAUGCAACCGUCACAUGCAUCUGGUGAAAUGCCAUGUCAAGGAUGGGCUGUGGUGGGUCUGUAAGCAUCAUAAAAGUUUCCCAAAGUAUGUACGUAAUGGCUCAAUAUUCACCAAGUCUCACAUCCCUCUGACAAAAUGGCUUGAGUUCAUGCACAGUUGAAGCAACUUGCCAUGAUCAGUGACAGGCACUGCAUGAAAAGUGGGAUUUUCGGCAGUAUGCGGCACUGUAGAUUGUCGUGUAAUUUCAGGUUUACGGCUGUUCGCGGCAAUCUGCGGGCAACGCCGAAAACUGCCGUAAAUUGUCAGAAAUUGACGUGGGCCUCCCUUGGCAGUUAUGACCCCCUCCUCCUAAUUCUAGGGGAGGCUUUGACAUGUAAAUGAAAAUGCUGUG
ensembl:lncRNA